UGGGGAAUAUUGCACAAUGGGCGCAAGCCUGAUGCAGCCAUGCCGCGUGUAUGAAGAAGGCCUUCGGGUUGUAAAGUACUUUCAGCGGGGAGGAAGGGAGUAAAGUUAAUACCUUUGCUCAUUGACGUUACCCGCAGAAGAAGCACCGGCUAACUCCGUGCCAGCAGCCGCGGUAAUACGGAGGGUGCAAGCGUUAAUCGGAAUUAGUGGGCGUAAAGCGCACGCAGGCGGUUUGUUAAGUCAGAUGUGAAAUCCCCGGGCUCAACCUGGGAACUGCAUCUGAUACUGGCAAGCUUGAGUCUCGUAGAGGGGGGUAGAAUUCCAGGUGUAGCGGUGAAAUGCGUAGAGAUCUGGAGGAAUACCGGUGGCGAAGGCGGCCCCCUGGACGAAGACUGACGCUCAGGUGCGAAAGCGUGGGGAGCAAACAGG
rnacentral:rRNA from 1 species